rnacentral:rRNA from 1 species
CGUAGGAGGCAAGCGUUAUCCGGAUUCACUGGGCGUAAAGCGCGUGCAGGCGGUGCGGUAAGUUAGGCGUGAAAUCUCCCGGCUCAACUGGGAGAGGUCGUCUAAUACUACCGUACUAGAGAGCAGAAGAGGAAGAUGGAAUUCCCGGUGUAGUGGUGAAAUGCGUAGAUAUCGGGAGGAACACCAGUGGCGAAGGCGAUCUUCUGGUCUGUUUCUGACGCUCAGACGCGACAGCUAGGGUAGUAAACGGGAUUAGAGACCCCGGUAAUCCUAGCCGUAAACGAUGUGAACUUGGCGUUGGUGGGUUAAACUCCAUCAGUGCCGCAGCAAACGCGAUAAGUUCACCGCCUGGGGACUACGGCCGCAAGGUUA